GACGAACGCUGGCGGCGUGCUUAACACAUGCAAGUCGAACGGAAAGGCCCUGCUUUUGUGGGGUGCUCGAGUGGCGAACGGGUGAGUAACACGUGAGUAACCUGCCCUUGACUUUGGGAUAACUUCAGGAAACUGGGGCUAAUACCGGAUAGGAGCUCCUGCUGCAUGGUGGGGGUUGGAAAGUUUCGGCGGUUGGGGAUGGACUCGCGGCUUAUCAGCCUGUUGGUGGGGUAGUGGCUUACCAAGGCUUUGACGGGUAGCCGGCCUGAGAGGGUGACCGGCCACAUUGGGACUGAGAUACGGCCCAGACUCCUACGGGAGGCAGCAGUGGGGAAUAUUGCACAAUGGGCGGAAGCCUGAUGCAGCAACGCCGCGUGCGGGAUGACGGCCUUCGGGUUGUAAACCGCUUUCGCCUGUGACGAAGCGUGAGUGACGGUAAUGGGUAAAGAAGCACCGGCUAACUACGUG
rnacentral:rRNA from 1 species